rnacentral:lncRNA from 1 species
CAUGAAGUUGCAGGUGAUCCUGAGCCCAAGCCCUGGCUAUGGAGGCCUAGUUAGUGUUCUCUCCACUGGCAGGCCGGAUACCUCAGGAUGAGUAUGUGUUUUCUGAGCACCCAGUAAGCAUGAGGCCCUGGGCGCAGCACGCCUUCAGGAGCUGGUAGUCUCAUUGGGAUGUAAGCCUCACACUUCAUCUUCAACCUCUUGGUGUUCCCUGAGGAGAGCUUCUGAGAGCUGGGUGCUGGGGUGACAGGGUGGAGACGUGGUCCAUCUCUACCCACUGGGCGAAAAUUGCUAGAAUCAUCUAUAACGUGCUACAGGGACUAGGGGAGCAGUGAGCUUAGCAGGGCUUUUGGGAACAAGAGGAUCUUGUAUUUACAUAAAGUAACUUUGAAACAGUCAAGUAGAAAUUAAAGCCUGGUUAGUCUCCCUCCACUUUUCACAGUGCGUCCUUCAUACACCCUCUGCUGCUUGCUCCUCUCCAGCCACACUGCUCCAUCUGCACAAGCAGUUUCCUCCUCCUGGAAAUGCUGUCGUCCUCCUCCUCAUCUUGGCUGCAGCUACAAGACUCCAUCCAUCUCCUUUCUGCCCCCACUCCCUUGAGAAUCUGCCACUUCCCCCUCCAGGCUCCUCCUGAACUUCAGAAUUAUUACUGUAACUCCUAGUUUACCCACCCUUUUCCCCACUGACCAUCUCCUUUCGAGUUCAUGGACUAUACCUCAUUCAUUUUCACCUCCCUAAUGCCUAGCUUAGGGCAUCACACAUGGUGGGUGAAGGUUUGUUGAGUGGAAUAAAAGAGAGAAGAAUGAAGGAACAAAUAAUCAUAAGUUCUCAGUCCAGGCUCAUCAGGUGGCUAUGUGGACAUUACUCAUCAUGAAGCUCAGAGGAAGGAGACACAUUUCCAGCUCCAUGUGGUUGAGAAGAGGGGAAAUUUGAAGGAAUGAACACUUGGAGAGGGUGCAGUGUUGUGUCUCAGACAGAAGGAGCCGGUGUCAAGGCUGUUCCAGAGAUGGAAGGCGGAGCAGUUGUGCUGAUGCAGUACAUUCAUGGGAAACAGUGAGAGAUGAAAGGCAGGCUGCUGCAGGCCAUCCUUACCUGCCCUUGAAUGCCAGGAAGUUCUUUAUCUCUGAGACGCUGAAGGAUUUUGAGCAGGGGAGCCACAGAAUCAGAGUGGCUGAUUUAACAGAACUUUGAUUUGUGCACAGGAAGGUGCAGGUUUUUGGUGAAGCAGAUGUGUAUUUAUUGAGCUUCUAUACACAUAUGCUUCUUCCAGCAGAUGGUAGGCACAGAGCUGGUCACCUAGGAAAGACAGGAAAAACUGUCCCUGCCCUCAAGUCAUUCAUGUUAGCAAGGAAGGCAAGAAGGCAAGACAAUAAAGCAGGCUGUUACCCAGCACUGUUGGGGUGGUGUGGAGAGACUUUAAGGGAAGGUUUCCCAAAAGUUAGGAUACCUGAACUGCAUCUUCAAAGAAGAUCAGAGGUAACCAGGCGAAGAAGGUGGCAGGGGAGAGGCACAUUUCCAAGUAGGUGGUUUGUACCAAAUCAUAGAGGUUUGGGAGGCAAAUUAACAAAUCAUAAAUAGUUCAAGGUGGAUAGAGAUAGGAGGUGCAGACCUCAUAGGACUCUGGGUGCCACACUGAGGAGUUUGAAUCUUAUCCUAAAGACAAGGAUGAGCCAUUGAAGUGUUUUGAUUGAGAGAUCUGGUUGGAUUUUUGUUUUACAACGAUCGCUUGGCUGCCUGCAGAGAAUAAGUUGAAAGGGAUAAGGUUGGUGUUUUAGAACCAAUCUGGGAGGCCAUUAAUCCAGGGAGGAUGACAAAUGUCUGAGCUUGGACAGGGAUAGAGCAGGGGAUAGACUGGAGGUGUUUAGGAGGUAGAAUCCUUAGAUUUGGCUGACCCAGUGGAAGGAGAGGGGAGGGGGAGAAGUGAUGGAUGACUUCUGUCUACCUUAUGGUACAUGCUGUUCAGUGAUCUGGGUUAAAGAGCAGAUUUGGAGAAAGAUAAGGACUUCAUGGUGGAUAAUGAAUUCAUUUGCAGUGCCUGAGGAGUGUCUAAGUGAGGUGGUAAAUGGUAAGUUAAGAUGUAAGUCUGGAGCUCAGGAGAGAGGCCUGGGGUAAGAUGGCAACAUAGGAAUUAAUUAAAACUAUAGGAAGAAUGAGAUCUCCCAAGGAGGUUUUGUUGACUGAGAAGGGCUAAGGAUAGAACCUUUUGAAAAACCACCUUUGGAAACACCAGGGGUACUGAGGAAGGAGGAAAUCAUGAAAGAAACUAGAAAGGAGUAGUAAGAAGUGGAAGGAAAACCAGGAGAGUGUGGACUCUGCAAACAGAAGUGUCCAGAAAGGGAUCAGUUGUGUCUAGUACCACAAUCAAGUCAGGUCAGGUAAGGAUUGAGUUGUAGCCUUCAGAUUUAGCAAAAAGGAGGUCGUUGGUGACCUUGACACAUUCACUCUUUAGUGCCCACAGAGAAGAG